rnacentral:rRNA from 1 species
UACGUAGGAGACGAGCGUUGUCCGGAGUUACUGGGCGUAAAGGGUGCGCAGGCGGCGGCGCGCGUGUGCGGUGAAAUCUCCCGGCUCAACUGGGAGGGGGCCGUGCAGACGGCGCCGCUUGAGGGUCGGAGAGGGGCGUGGAACUCCGGGUGGAGCGGUGAAAUGCGUAGAGAUCCGGAAGAACACCGACGGCGAAGGCAGCGCCCUGGCCGAUCCCUGACGCUCAGGCACGAAAGCUGGGGGAG